CUUGUACUCCCUCCGUCCGGAAAUACUUGUCAUUGAAAUGGAUGUAUCUAGAUGUAUUUUAGUUCUAGAUACAUCCAUUUUCAUCCAUUUUGAUGACAAGUAAUUCCGGACGGAGGGAGUAUAAA
rnacentral:pre_miRNA from 1 species